CGCUUGGUCGAGCGUUCCGUCGUCUCACACGAAACUGGGCCAAGCCCAACAACCUCGCUAGAGUGAAAUGAAAGCCUAGCACGCGGAACCCUCGCCCUGAACUCGUCAUCCUCCUCCCCCCCUCCCCUGCGCGGAGCUGCUGCCGGCCUGCCGCCGACCACCCACCGCCUUCUCCUGCUUCCCAGUCUUGCGAAGCUAUUCCUCUCCCUCUACCCGCCUCCUCCUCUCCAGACACCUCACCAUCAUCUUCUAUCUCCGAUCUGGUAAUCGGCGCUGCGGGGAUCUCUUCCAACUUAUACUCUGCCUCCGAUCUGGUUACCACCGCUCCGGCCGCCACACUAGCACAGAGUUCCUCUACCUCGGCACCCCGUUGAUGUCAGGUCACACGACCUCGCACCUUCUCCCUAUGUUUCUGGAGCUCCGCCCUCUCCCGCUGCUCCCCCGCAUUGGCCUGUGCUUCUGCCUCCGACCCGAGCACUCGCCCACGCACCGACGUAGCCCGGCGCCUCUCUGCUCCCCCCUUUAGCGCAGUUGGUCUCCUCUCCCAUGCUCGGCUCCACUCCAUAGAUUUCCGCCCGCCGUCCAACCCGUCGGCCCCCAAACUAAGGCCUUCUCAUGACUUCUCCUUCCCUCAGCUGACCCGAAAUCUCCACCUGCUACACCGUGCAUCCCGCGUCAAGAUCAGACGGUGCGGCACAACAUUUGUACAACUAAAAGUAAAAGCAGGUGCUGCCAUGGAUGGUCGUUGUGAUGGCAAAAGUGAGUAAUCAGGGACUGGGUCAGUUGUGUCUUGAUGACUCGGAUAUUGAUAUGGAUAUGGAUUGAGAUGGGGACUCACCAUCAAGGGUACAUAUGAGCCUAGCCAAUUCAUCGCCUGUGGCUGCUGCUGAAUGACAUGUCCAUCCUUGGCAAUGAUUUGCCACUUGGCAGCACUAGGAAGUCUGAAACCGGUAAUGUGAUUGUGUAAGCUAGGAGCCAAUUACAGUUAAUACGUCAAGGCUCAGCCUCAUUUGGUAAUGAGAGGAUGAGGAGUGCUGAUUGAUGACACGUACCAUUUUUUUCUUCGAAAUCUUGCAAAUUCUGGUCAUGGCAGCUGCUAUAUUCUUCUACUACACAGUGAAAUGAGGAGGGGCCAGACCUGAGGUUACAGCUCAUCCUCUAACAUUCCAGUGAUGUGGUGUCUGCCGGUCGUUUCUUAUGUGGACAUCUUCCUCACGGGGAGUUUCAUCAGACUGAACAAGUUUGGCGUCGUUUCAUUGU